rnacentral:misc_RNA from 1 species
GAUGAAGAACGUAGUGAAAUGCGAUAACUAAUGUGAAUUGCAGAAUUCCGUGAAUCAUCGAGUCUUUGAACGCACAUUGCGCCCCCUGGUAUUCCGGGGGGCAUGCCUGUCCGAGCGUCAUUGCUGCCCAUCAAGCACGGCUUGUGUGUUGGGUCCUCGUCCCCCCCGGGGGACGUGCCCGAAAGGCAGCGGCGGCACCGCGUCCGGUCCUCGAGCGUAUGGGGCUUUGUCACCCGCUCUGCAGGCCCGGCCGGCGCUGGCCGACGCGAAAGCAACCAUUUUUUCUCCAGGUUGACCUCGGAUCAGGUAGGGAUACCCGCUGAACUUAAGCGUAUCAAUAAGCGGAGGA